GGGACAGGGACGGACGCUCCAGCUGCAGGCAAGUUCCUAGAAAGUCCACUGAAAUGGAUGUCAUUCCUUUGCUACCAGAAAACUGAGGUGCAGAGAGAUCCUGGUGGUGGUUGGAAGCUGCCGUGAUUCUCCAAGCUGCUGGGCCUGCCGCGCAGGUGGUUUCCCCAACAGACCCAACAGUAUUCAGGCACCAACCAUCAUCUUGAAACAACUGGUAUUCGGCUGCCAUCCUUUGGAAUGCUCCACUGGCUCGUUUCAUUCAUGUUCGAAGUGAGGACUCGAAAUCUACCAUGUGGUCAGCAUGUGCUCCGUAUUGAGGAAGAACAAAAUACUUUAAACACCAUUCCUAACUUCCACGAGCUGUGUGGCUGUUGGGGAGCAAUGAUAAAUGGAGUGGCGCGGAAACUAAAUGCUCCCAGACCUCCGGGGAGGCGUGGGUAGGGGGGCUACCUGGUUAGCUCAGGCCUGUUCUCUCCCUCCUGUCUCCCGGUUCUCUUUGUGGCUUUGAAAAAUAAAUGCA